rnacentral:rRNA from 1 species
CGCGUAGGCGGUCUUUAAGUCAGAUGUGAAAGCCCUCGGCUUAACCGAGGAAGUGCAUUUGAUACUAAGAGACUUGAGUAUGGGAGAGGGAAGCGGAAUUCCUGGUGUAGCGGUGAAAUGCGUAGAUAUCAGGAGGAACACCGGUGGCGAAGGCGGCUUCCUGGACCAAUACUGACGCUGAGGCGCGAAGGCGUGGGGAGCAAACAG